AUGGUCUGGGAAAGGCUCCUAUGUGGAGGCUUUGAAUCUGCCUAAGGUGGGUGCAACCUCAUAAAUGAUAGUUCAACCUUAACCCAAAGUAAAUUCCCAUGGGAACAUUCCCUGGGUUUAGAAUCUGCAUUUACAAGUGUGAAUUGGAUGGUUAUAUGUAUGUUGAUGCUGCAAACAGGA
ensembl:scaRNA